rnacentral:tRNA from 1 species
GGCCGUGUGGCGUAAUGGCAGCGCAUCUGACUACGAACGUGUACAUCAGGAGGUUGCAGGUUCGACCCCUGUCU